AGUGAACGCUGGCGGUAGGCCUAACACAUGCAAGUCGAACGGCAGCACAGUAAGAGCUUGCUCUUACGGGUGGCGAGUGGCGGACGGGUGGGGAAUACAUCGGAAUCUACUCUUUCGUGGGGGAUAACGUAGGGAAACUUACGCUAAUACCGCAUACGACCUACGGGUGAAAGCAGGGGAUCUUCGGUCCUUGCGCCAUUUAAUGAGCCGAUGUCGGAUUAGCUAGUUGGCGGGGUAACGGCCCACCAAGGCGACGAUCCGUAGCUGGUCUGAGAGGAUGAUCAGCCACACUGGAACUGAGACACGGUCCAGACUCCUACGGGAGGCAGCAGUGGGGAAUAUUGGACAAUGGGCGCAAGCCUGAUCCAGCCAUACCGCGUGGGUGAAGAAGGCCUUCGGGUUGUAAAGCCCUUUUGUUGGGAAAGAAAAGCAGCAGGUUAAUACCCCGCUGUUCUGACGGUACCCAAAGAAUAAGCACCGGCUAACUUCGUG
rnacentral:rRNA from 1 species